UACGAAGGGGGCUAGCGUUGCUCGGAAUGACUGGGCGUAAAGGGCGCGUAGGCGGCUCAUAGAGUCGGGCGUGAAAUUCCCGGGCUUAACCUGGGGGCUGCAUUUGAUACGUGUUGUCUAGAGUGAGGAAGAGGGUUGUGGAAUUCCCAGUGUAGAGGUGAAAUUCGUAGAUAUUGGGAAGAACACCGGUGGCGAAGGCGGCAACCUGGUCCUUGACUGACGCUGAGGCGCGAAAGCGUGGGGAGCAAACAGG
rnacentral:rRNA from 1 species